CCUUACACAUGCAAGUCGAACGGCAGCACGGGUGCUUGCACCUGGUGGCGAGUGGCGAACGGGUGAGUAAUACAUCGGAACGUACCUUAUCGUGGGGGAUAACGCAGCGAAAGUUGCGCUAAUACCGCAUACGCCCUGAGGGGGAAAGCGGGGGACCGUAAGGCCUCGCGCGAUUAGAGCGGCCGAUGUCUGAUUAGCUCGUUGGUGAGGUAAAAGCUCACCAAGGCGAUGAUCAGUAGCUGGUCUGAGAGGACGAUCAGCCACACUGGGACUGAGACACGGCCCAGACUCCUACGGGAGGCAGCAGUGGGGAAUUUUGGACAAUGGGGGCAACCCUGAUCCAGCAAUGCCGCGUGAGUGAAGAAGGCCUUCGGGUUGUAAAGCUCUUUUGUCAGGGAAGAAACAGCAGCUCUAACACAGUCUGCGAAUGACGGUACCUGAAGAAUAAGCACCGGCUAACUACGUGCCAGCAGCCGCGGUAAUACGUAGGGUGCGAGCGUUAAUCGGAAUUACUGGGCGUAAAGCGUGCGCAGGCGGUUAUACAAGACAGGCGUGAAAUCCCCGGGCUUAACCUGGGAAUGGCGUCUGUGACUGUAUAGCUAGAGUGUGUCAGAGGGGGGUGGAAUUCCACGUGUAGCAGUGAAAUGCGUAGAUAUGUGGAGGAACACCAAUGGCGAAGGCAGCCCCCUGGGAUAACACUGACGCUCAUGCACGAAAGCGUGGGUAGCAAACAGGAUUAGAUACCCUGGUAGUCCACGCCCUAAACGAUGCUGACUAGUUGUUGGGAAUUUACAUUCUCAGUAACGUAGCUAACGCGUGAAGUCAGCCGCCUGGGGAGUACGGUCGCAAGAUUAAAACUCAAAGGAAUUGACGGGGACCCGCACAAGCGGUGGAUGAUGUGGAUUAAUUCGAUGCAACGCGAAAAACCUUACCUACCCUUGACAUGUCACUAACGAAGUAGAGAUACAUUAGGUGCCCGUAAGGGAAAGUGAACACAGGUGC
rnacentral:rRNA from 1 species